rnacentral:rRNA from 1 species
AUUGAACGCUGGCGGCAGGCCUAACACAUGCAAGUCGAACGAGUGGCGGACGGGUGAGAAAUGUCUGGGAAACUGCCUGAUGGAGGGGGAUAACUAAUGGAAACGGUAGCUAAUACCGCAUAACAUCAGAUGUGCCCAGAUGGGAUUAGCUAGUUGGUGGGGUAACGGCUCACCAAGGCGACGAACCCUAGCUGGUCGGAUAGGAUGACCAGCCACACUGGAACUGAGACACGGUCCCGACUCCUACGGGAGGCAGCAGUGGGGAAUAUUGCCCAAUGGGCGCAAGCCUGAUGCAGCCAUGCCGCGUGUUUGAAGAAGGCCUUCGGGUUGUAAAGUACUUUCAGCGGGGAGGCGUUACCCGCCGAAGAAGCACCGGCUAACUCCGUGCCAGCAGCCGCGGUAAUUC